AGGGGUAUAGCUCAGUGGUAGAGAGCAUGCUUAGCAAGCGUAAGGUCCUGGGUUCAAUACCCAAUAUCUCCA
rnacentral:tRNA from 1 species